rfam:Stegodyphus mimosarum contig59547, whole genome shotgun sequence.
GCCUUCGUAGCGUAGUGGUCAGAACGCUAAGAGCUUAUUCCAGAGGUCUGCGGUUCGAGUCCCCGCGAAGGCG